rnacentral:lncRNA from 13 species
CUGCAUAGAAACAUUACUGGAAUAUAGAAGAGAGCAAGACGACGCUUGUAACCAGGUGUAACGCCACUCCAACCAGUUGGUAUGGAGGCUAUGGUUCGUUUCACCGAGGAAGAAACUCUUCUGACUUCAAGCGCAGGAAAACAAAACUUGAAUGGAAAAGUCAUAAAUCACGCUCAAAAGCUAUUUAUUCAGCCAUCUAUAUCACGUGGUUAACGUGUCACCGUUACCAGGAAAUGAAGGGAAGAGAAGACCGACAAGGUGAGGAGUGGUGAGUGCGCUACCUUACACAUUAUCUUGGGUUAUUAACGAUACUCUACUGCACGUACAUCUUCUAAAUAUGGAAUAUCAUCAAAAGUAUUGGUUUUAUGUUGAUGGAAUGCAUGUUACAUAAAAACAGUAUGGACGUUUACACAGUGUCAGUAGUGUUGAAACCUCAUAGUGGUCAAUUCUUAAGAAUCUGAGUAAGUUGAUUGGCUAAACAAUACAUAAGUCCAGAACCAGUACAACAUAAUUUGCAUAUUAAUGGUCAUGGCUUUCAAGUCGAAAACAAGUUAGUUUAAUUGUUUGUUAGUCGGUGGAUUAUUUUAGUUCUCACUUGAAUCUGAUGUAUUCAUCAAUUUCCGAAUCUGAUGUGUAACAUAUCCUAAAUAUUUUGUUUUGCAAUUUGCAAUUAUGCACACUCUUGUACCCUUCUAAACAAACAAAAGACAAUGCUAUAGAUGCAAUUAAAUAUCCACAAUCGCUUAAACCAAGGCUUACGAUUUAAAAGUGCUUAAAUAAUUGUUUAUUAUCAUUACAGUUAAUUAAAUAAGUGGUUAUUCAGUUAUUUAAUGAUAUACGUUUGGGUCAAAUAUUGUCCCAUGUUAUUAUAAGCCUGUACCAUGAUGGCCACAUAUACUAUUAACCAGUAAUAAUGCACAGUCAUUGCAAUAUAAUUGUAAACGUUAUUGACUGUAAAUAAUACACUAUUGAAACCCCAACUCUAACCCAGUCAAAUCAAUACAUAUUUUUUGUGUUGUUAUUAUUAAUGAUAGGAUUAAUAUUAGGCCUAUUGAUAGUAUUAUUAUUAUUAUUGAGUCCAUUGGGUUUAAACAAACGUAUGACUUCUUAC